rnacentral:misc_RNA from 1 species
UUUCCGUAGGUGAACCUGCGGAAGGAUCAUUAAUAAAUGGUCUACGUUUUUUAAGUAGACGCUUAAUAAUCCUACCCUUGUGAAUUUGUUGUUUGAAUAAUUUUUUUUAAAAUUAUUGAUUGUCUUUCCCUGUUGAAUUGGUUGUCUUAAUGGCAAUGAUUCGCAGGGAGUGUCAGUAUUUUUAAAAGACCUUUUUAAAAUUAAACUUUUUGUAUUCAUUUGUCUAAAAUUAUUUUAUAAUAUAAAACAACUUUUGACAAUGGAUCUCUUGUUCUCGCAACGAUGAAGAACGCAGCAAAAUGCGAUAAGUAGUGUGAAUUGCAGAAUACGUGAAUCAUCGAAUCUUCGAACGCAUAUUGCACUUUUUAGUUUACUAAAAAGUAUGUCUGUUUGAGUAUCAGUAAAAUAUUCUCAUAAAAACUUUUGUUUUUAUGGUUAUGAGUGUUUUACAACGAUACAAGUGUUCACUUUAAAUUUUUUUAAAAUUGAAUUUUCUAAUUUUAAAAUAAAUUGGAUAAAUUUCCGUAAAAAAGGAAUAACCUAAACAAUUUAAUUUUUGAUUAGAUUCUUCAAUAUAAAGAAAUUUAACUAAAUAACUUGAUCUCAAAUCAGAUAAGAGUACCGCUGAACUUAAGCAUAUCAAUAGCGGAGGAAAAGAAACUAACAAGGAUUCCCUUAGUAACGGCGAGUGAAGCGGAAGAGCUCAAUUUGAAAUCUUCAAGGUUUACCUUGACGAUUGUAGUUAAAGAAGUGUUUUCUGUGAAGUUUGGUAAAAUUCUUUGAAUAGGACAUCAUAGAGGUGAGAAUCCGUAUUUGACAUUAUUUCAGCUGUGUGAUACACUUCAAAGAGUCGGAUUGUUUGGAAUGCAGUCCAAAUGGUGGUAAAUUUCAUCUAAAGCUAAAUAUGGCGAAGACGAUAGCGAACAGUACGUGAGGAAAGAUGAAAAAACUUUGAAAAGAGAGUUAAACAGUACGUGAAAUUGUCAAAAGGGAAGCGUUUGACACAGUGUGUUUCUCGAAAUCAAUUAAAAAAGUUGAUUUGUGUUGUAUUGACCUUAACAGCUUGCUUCACUCUUUCUUGCUUUUUUAAUGCACUUUCGUUUAACAAGUCAACAUCAGUUUCUUUGUUGUAAAGGGUCAUUGGAAGUGGCUUUCUCUUCGGAGAAAGUGUUUAUAGCCUUUGAUCUCGCAAUCGGAGAGACUGAGGUCUGCAGCGUAGAUCCUUCGGGUUAAUACAUUUGCUAAGCUACAGCUUUCAUAGACAACUUGUUGACUAUGUUUAGUCUUGUAACUUACCGCUUAGCUAUUUACCUACGCUUAGGAUGU